CCGGGGUCUCCAACGAAGCUGAAUGGUGGAAGAUUCAGGGCAGGUGAAAGGACACGUAGUUAGUUCAGCUAUGGAACUCCCUGCCACAGGAUGCUAUGAUGCUCAUCAAGUUAGAUGGCUUUAAAAGAAGACUAUGUUCCGCUUCCACUGUCAUAGAGUCCCAACUGCCUGGAAUUAAAAGUGGGGAGAGUGCUGUUGCGCUCAGGUCCUACUUGCGAGUUUCCCAUAAGCCCCUGGUUCGCCACUGUGAGAAUUGCAGGCAGGACUAGAGAAAUAUCUCUUUGGUCUGAUCCAGCCAGCUGUCAACGGAGUCUGUGCAGUUCAUGUCAUAUACAGUUUAGCCACCAGGUGGCGCCGGACUUAAAGGUUAAUGCCAGCACUUUGAAUUGAGUCCAGAAAUAAACAGGAAGUCAGUGCAGAUGGCAAAAGACUGAUGGAUCUUCCAGUCUCGGUUAGCAAUCUUACUACCCUGCUUUGGACCAGUCUCAAGUCUCCAGAUUGUUUUCACAAGCAACUCCAGGUAUGAAUGCCAACCAAAUCCGACAGCGCAAUAAAUGUGUAUGAAACAUAUCACAAGAUGGCAGAGCUCUGCCCCAGAGAGUUUACAAUCUAGAAUUUGGUGCAGCGAGGACAUAACAAAGAGGAGGGAAGGAGAAGGGCGUGUGUUUUGUUGGUGACACUAUAGUGCGCAGUCAAGAGCCAUUACUAGACACAGUACAUAAAAUACAAACAUCAUCCAGCAUUGUGUACCCACAGAGGCCAGGCAGCUGCCCAUAGGAAGCCCGCAAGAUGGCCCUAGAAGCAAAAGCACUUUUCCUACUUGUGAUUCCCAGAUACUGGCCUUCAGAGCAUACUUCCUCCAACACUGGAGCCAAAAGAGUGGAGAAGAGACAGUAAUGGACUAACAAGAUUGAACAGUGGUCUGAUUCAGCAUACAGCUCCUUAUAUCCCAUACAAAAUUGUGGUAUGAGGUACUUUUGUGCCUCUUUCCCAGAACCCACUAUGUCGAUAAGUCAAAACAAAGUGCUUAAAUGCUGCAAUUUUACACACCCACCCCUCAAAAAAACAACCACAUUAACUCAAGAAGCUGAAAAAUAUAUACAUAUGUAUUGAGAGCCACAGAAAUUAGAAUUACAGACGGAGGUCCACAAAGCCUGCACAGAUACAUUCCAAAAAUUCAAGGUAGUAGAACAGGUGAAAUACAGACUGUUAAAGAGAUCCCAACGACAAGGUCCUCAAACCAUGCACUUGGUAACAACAUUGCCUCCAGUCUUCCAGUCAGUUUUGUCUUUAUCUUUUAGGCUCUGGUGUAGAUCACUCCAAACACUUUAGUGGCCACCAUUUUGGUCAGGGAUGAAGAACCUGGAACUCCUCCAGUUGCUGUUGGGCUCUAGCUCCCAUGAACCUCAGUUGGCCAUGGCCAAUAGCAUGGAAUGAUCGCAGCCGUAGUCCAUCAUCAUCUGGGAGAGCCACAGUUUCCCCAUUCCUGAUUUAGGGUCUCCUACAGGCAUGUAGUCCUCACUUGGGAGAGGCUCCCUUGUAGUCCCAAUAAUACAAUAAACCUGGGCAAAUAUUUACACAAUCCUGGGUUUGCCUUCUUCAGCAAGCCAACUUUGCUGCUGCAUAUCGGAUUUUCAACAUUAAAGCAUACAUCUGCAUAGUUUUCAUGUGUGCAUGUAUGUGUGGUUGUUGGGUUUUUUUUUACAGUUGAGGUUAUCUACCGAAAGAUUAAUUCAUUUCACUUAUAUAUAUAUUUAUAUAUAUAUAUACAAAAUAAUAAAGGCCUUGGGAAUCUCUUUGAUACCUCUGAAAACACAGUUGAAAACUUGUCAGCCAUUCCCAUGAAAAAUAUAUAUCCGAAAGGAAUGUUCUCUGUUCUCCCAUCCUUAACAUUGCAAGAGCCCUUUUCUUUGUCAUCAUCAACUAGAUUUUUUUUUUUAAAAAAAAGCAUAUCAGGGUAAAUUCUGGUUUUCAACCCAAGCAGAAACAUAGUACAUGGAGUGUCUCUCAUAAACUGUUCUCCGUUGCUAAUUCAGACAAAGAAGUAAAAUAUUAAGGCUUCAAGUUAAAAAAAAAAUCAAAAAAUCAAAAGUAAUCUCUCUCUCUCUUUCACUCUCUCCCUGCAAAUAUAAAACCCACAUAAUGCCAGAAAUCUCAGCAUCUUUUAUUGUGAAUUCAAGCUACAAUACUGCAGUUUGCCCAACUCAGUGAAAUGACAGUGAUGGGAGGAGACGGAUGGCAUACCCCAAAAUCUGUAAUGCAAAACUAUUGCUGUUUCUUCAGUAAGAUGGAGACUUCAAUGCAAAAGCUGAAUUGUACGGACCACAUUUAAGAACGUAAUAAGAUUCCUGCUGGAUCAGACCAAAGGCCUACCUGGUCCAACAUGCUGUUCUCAUAGUGACAACCUGACGCACCUGUAAGCCUGUAAGCAGGACCUGAGUGCAGCAUACAGUCUCACCUCCAGUCCUGGAGGUAGUACAUAGCCUCAUGACUCCUGGCCACUGAUAGCCUCCCUGUCCACAUUGAUGGUAACUGAGACAUCUUGCGAUUGCAUUUUCCAUUAUCACACCGUCCGAAACAUUUCCUUUCGUCUGUCCUGCAUCUCCCACCAAAGAUUUGCUUGAAAGGGUGUUUGAAGGACAGGCUUUGAGAAAACUAAGAUUUACCUGCACUCAAUCAUUUAUUGUCAGCUUAUUCUGCCUUGAUCAUAAUAAAGGAUCCAUGUCUGGUGUAGAACACCAGAAUGAGGGGAACGCAAGUUACAUCUUUGGCACAGUGGCAUAG